rnacentral:rRNA from 1 species
UACGAAGGGGGCUAGCGUUGCUCGGAAUCACUGGGCGUAAAGCGCACGUAGGCGGACUCUUAAGUCGGUGGUGAAAUCCUGGAGCUCAACUCCAGAACUGCCUUCGAUACUGGGAGUCUCGAGUCCGGGAGAGGUGAGUGGAACUGCGAGUGUAGAGGUGAAAUUCGUAGAUAUUCGCAAGAACACCAGUGGCGAAGGCGGCUCACUGGCCCGGUACUGACGCUGAGGUGCGGAAAGCGUGGGGAGCAAACAGG